rnacentral:rRNA from 1 species
AUUGAACGCUGGCGGCAGGCCUAACACAUGCAAGUCGAACGAGUGGCGGACGGGUGAGUAAUGUCUGGGAAACUGCCCGAUGGAGGGGGAUAACUACUGGAAACGGUAGCUAAUACCGCAUACCAUCGGAUGUGCCCCGAUGGGAUUAGCUAGUAGGUGGGGUAACGGCUCACCUAGGCGACGAUCCCUAGCUGGUCUGAGAGGAUGACCAGCAACACUGGCAUUGAGACACGGUCCAGACGCCUACGGGAGGCAGCAGUGGGGAAUAUUGGACAAUGGGGGCGAGCCUAAUGAAGCCAUGCCGCGUGUAUGAAGAAGGCCUUCGGGUUGUAAAGUCCUUUCAGCGAGGAGGCGUUACUCGCAGAAGAAGCACCGGCUAACCCCGUGCCAGCAGCCGCGGUAAUUC